AGGGGAGCCGGAGGGAAACCGAGUCUUAACCGGGCGUUAAGUUGCAGGGUAUAGACCCGAAACCCGGUGAUCUAGCCAUGGGCAGGUUGAAGGUUGGGUAACACUAACUGGAGGACCGAACCGACUAAUGUUGAAAAAUUAGCGGAUGACCUGUGGCUGGGGGUGAAAGGCCAAUCAAACCGGGAGAUAGCUGGUUCUCCCCGAAAGCUAUUUAGGUAGCGCCUCGUGAAUUCAUCUCCGGGGGUAGAGCACUGUUUCGGCUAGGGGGCCAUCCCGGCUUACCAACCCGAUGCAAACUGCGAAUACCGGAGAAUGUUAUCACGGGAGACACACGGCGGGUGCUAACGUCCGUCGUGAAGAGGGAAACAACCCAGACCGCCAGCUAAGGUCCCAAAGUCAUGGUUAAGUGGGAAACGAUGUGGGAAGGCCCAGACAGCCAGGAUGUUGGCUUAGAAGCAGCCAUCAUUUAAAGAAAGCGUAAUAGCUCACUGGUCGAGUCGGCCUGCGCGGAAGAUGUAACGGGGCUAAACCAUGCACCGAAGCUGCGGCAGCGACGCUUAUGCGUUGUUGGGUAGGGGAGCGUUCUGUAAGCCUGUGAAGGUGUGUCGUGAGGCAUGCUGGAGGUAUCAGAAGUGCGAAUGCUGACAUAAGUAACGAUAAAGCGGGUGAAAAGCCCGCUCGCCGGAAGACCAAGGGUUCCUGUCCAACGUUAAUCGGGGCAGGGUGAGUCGACCCCUAAGGCGAGGCCGAAAGGCGUAGUCGAUGGGAAACGGGUUAAUAUUCCCGUACUUGGUGUUACUGCGAAGGGGGGACGGAGAAGGCUAUGUUGGCCGGGCGACGGUUGUCCCGGUUUAAGCGUGUAGGUGUGUGUUCCAGGUAAAUCCGGUUCACUUUAACACUGAGGCGUGAUGACGAGGCACUACGGUGCUGAAGUAACAAAUGCCCUGCUUCCAGGAAAAGCCUCUAAGCAUCAGGUAACAUCAAAUCGUACCCCAAACCGACACAGGUGGUCAGGUAGAGAAUACCAAGGCGCUUGAGAGAACUCGGGUGAAGGAACUAGGCAAAAUGGUGCCGUAACUUCGGGAGAAGGCACGCUGACACGUAGGUGAAGUGAUUUACUCAUGGAGCUGAAGUCAGUCGAAGAUACCAGCUGGCUGCAACUGUUUAUUAAAAACACAGCACUGUGCAAACACGAAAGUGGACGUAUACGGUGUGACGCCUGCCCGGUGCCGGAAGGUUAAUUGAUGGGGUCAGCGCAAGCGAAGCUCCUGAUCGAAGCCCCGGUAAACGGCGGCCGUAACUAUAACGGUCCUAAGGUAGCGAAAUUCCUUGUCGGGUAAGUUCCGACCUGCACGAAUGGCGUAAUGAUGGCCAGGCUGUCUCCACCCGAGACUCAGUGAAAUUGAACUCGCUGUGAAGAUGCAGUGUACCCGCGGCAAGACGGAAAGACCCCGUGAACCUUUACUAUAGCUUGACACUGAACAUUGAGCCUUGAUGUGUAGGAUAGGUGGGAGGCUUUGAAGUGUGGACGCCAGUCUGCAUGGAGCCGACCUUGAAAUACCACCCUUUAAUGUUUGAUGUUCUAACGUGGACCCGUUACCCGGGUUGCGGACAGUGUCUGGUGGGUAGUUUGACUGGGGCGGUCUCCUCCUAAAGAGUAACGGAGGAGCACGAAGGUUGGCUAAUCCUGGUCGGACAUCAGGAG
rnacentral:rRNA from 1 species